UCACGCGCCGCCGCCCCUCCCCAAUCGCGCCCCCCUCUCCAACCCUAAUCUCUCCCUCUCACGCGGCGCCACCGCCGUCGCCGCCGCCCUCGACUGCCGCCGCUCCGCCGUUGUUGCAUCCGUCGUCUCGCCGCCACCGAUCUCAAUCGCGUGAUUUCCUUUUCUUAUCCCGAAAUCGUGCAACCCUCUCACCCUAACCCUAAUCUUGUCCCCGCCGACCGACGCGCCGCCCCUCCCCGCUCGAGUCCAUGCCGCCGCAAGUUCGCCGUCGCAGGCCGCGUCACCCGGAUCAGCGUUGACGUCGCACGCCUUCCUCCUCACAUCGCCCGGCAUACGCUCGUCCUCGGUCAUAUCGGCGCCACCGCCGUCGCCGUCACACGCAGUCCUCCCCGUCCACCUCGCCGGCCUCGCGCCCUCGCCGCUCCCAACCUCGCCCACGAGAUCCUACUUUGAUAUGGUUGAGACUUCAUAAAUUAGUACACUUCCUCGAUGACCCUUCAAUGAAUGCCUAAAUACUAGAGGUACAUAUUUCUUAACUGAAUUAUGAUCUUAGAUGUCAAUUUGGACAUGCAUGUACAAUAUUAAUGGUGAAAAUGCUAUCCAAUAUCCAUAGAACUCUAGCUUAAUUUUCUCGGGGGUAGAGACCAGUCAAUUUGGAACUUUUAGCAGGCUUUCUACUUGGUACAAAGAAGAUUAUUUAUGGAAGUUCAUGCUUUUUAUAUUAUAAUUUUGUAUGAAGUUGAGCUUUAACAACUGGUUAAUAAAUCUUUCAUGGUUUCUUUGCUAACCAUCUUUACCUAAUACAUAUUUGUCCUAAUCUUUUAAGUAAAAGAAUAAAAUCAGAUCAUUUUGGAAGUGUCUGAAAUCUAAAUUUACUGCUGAAAACAAGUACUUAAUGAUUCUCUGAACUUGAGCAUGUCCCUGAAACUGAAUGAUAUGUACUGAUAGAUAUCUUACGACAAAGUGCACAUAGCUGUAAUGCUAUCUCUUACUGAUUUAAUGCACUGAUAGAUAUCUCACUAGCUAGAAGGUUUAGUCUACUAUUGAAGGCUCUUUUCUAUUAGCUAAUAGCUUCUCAGGUAUUAUUUUACCUGUUCUAUUGAUAGGACUGAUAGAGCUGUCAAUUUUUUUCAGGGUUUCUACUGCUCUCUAGGGACAGCCAUAUAUCUUUGAGAAUAUUGAUUUUAUCCCCCUAUUUGAGUCAUAUACAGAGACUGCUGUUGACCUUGAAUUUAUCCCACAGCAUUUGUGUGCAUGGAGAUAUACUGAAGUCUUUUUUUCCAGUUAUUCACAAAUAUAAUCUGGUACAUUGAAUAUUCAGUUUAAUCAUAUCAGAUUUUCAACAGAGAAUGUUUGCUAUGUAUCCCUAAUGACCCCAUUUCAACAAGGUUCUGCACAAAUCUGAAGAUAGAGUUAUGAUUUUCUCAAAAUUAACCAUGAUGUUAUCCUUCCUUGAACUAUUCAUGUAACUAAUCGGAUAGAAUAUAUAGCUUCUAUGCACAUAUUUAUGCUUUUAAAUCAACUGUAAGUUUCUUCCUUGAACAGCUGCAUUCUAUCCUUCAAUGUCUUCACAAAAUACUUUUUUUUUUCAUCCUAUCCAUUUUUUUACCGUCUAUUUAAUCAAAUGGCACGGUUUUUUUCGAAAGGGUUUCACCAAUCCAUAUUAUUAUCCAUUUACUGUCAUUACCACUAAUCAUGGUUGCUGCAUGGAAACAAAAAUGGUUUCUCUUUCAUGUUAACAGAAGCUAUGAACCAUCAGUGAUAUAAGUGAAAUCAGUGAUAUUAUGUGUAUGUGUGACAAAAAAUGAGUUAUUAUCUGCAUGUGUUUCUCAAAUUUAGAUAGCAGGCCUAAUCUUUUGUCGAGCUAGGAGAAGCCCUGAGUGCCCUGGUUAGGGAUAACCUGGAGCUUUUUUAUUAUUAAAUGAACCUGGAGCUAAAGAGUUUUUUAUGUUCUGUUGUAGCUGCCAGAAUGGAAAAUGCCUGAACAUUGCUCUGAAGAUGAGUACAUCUUUUGCAAGUCUUGAUCUGUGCACCUCUUCAGCUGGUUGUCAGCAUGAAAAAUUUAUGAUUCUGACAUAUGUCUGUGAAUAUGUUUGUAACAAUGAAUUCUAAAAACAUAUAUCUCUGAAUACGUUUGUAAAUUUAGUUGGAUUUUGUGAAGUUUUCAGUGAGCUUUGGAAUGAUUAUGAGAUAGCUAAAGAUGACUAUUGCUUGUAUGGACCAACAUGGUCUUGUAUCAUUGACUUGGUUGUAAUAUAUUUGGAAUGUGUUAAUAACUGUGAACUGAUGUAUUGUAUUCAAAUAAUUGAAGCCUUGAAUUGGUCUCAA